rnacentral:rRNA from 1 species
UGGGGAAUUUUGCGCAAUGGGCGAGAGCCUGACGCAGCAACGCCGCGUGGAGGAUGAAGGUCUUUGGAUUGUAAACUCCUGUCAGCGGGGAAAAAGGGAUUCGGGUUAAUACCCCGGAGACUUGAUUGUACCCGCAGAGGAAGCCCCGGCUAACUCUGUGCCAGCAGCCGCGGUAAUACAGAGGGGGCGAGCGUUAUUCGGAAUUAUUGGGCGUAAAGGGCGCGUAGGCGGCCUUUCAAGUGACGGGUGAAAUCCCUCGGCUUAACCGAGGAACUGCCUGUCAGACUGGAAGGCUUGAGACCGGGAGAGGUGAGUGGAAUUCCCAGUGUAGCGGUGAAAUGCGUAGAUAUUGGGAGGAACACCAGUGGCGAAGGCGGCUCACUGGACCGGUACUGACGCUGAGGCGCGAAAGCGUGGGGAGCAAACAGG